GCUGGGUGUGGUGGCGCAUGCGUGUACUCCCAGCUACUCUGGAGGCUGAGGUGGGAGGAUCACUUGAGCCUAGGAGGUCAAAGCUGCAGUGAACCAAGAUCAUACCACUGCACUCCAGCCUAGGCAAUAGAGUGAGACCCUGCCUCAU
rnacentral:SRP_RNA from 1 species